AACUUCCUUUCCUUUGCUUCUCAGUUUUUAGCUCAACUCAACGAAAUUGGGGAACCUUAUGUGAUACCCUCAGCAUUGGUGUUGGUGUCCCAGGUUAAAGUUUUUGGAGCAGAGUUCUUUUUAACUAUGAAAAUGAAGAACUGGAGAGGAUCUUGAUUGAUUUUUCUUGAAUGAGACACAAGUGCCUUCCAUUUGUGAUACUAAAGGAAGCUGUUACAAAUUUAGUUUGCCACAGUACUGGCCUGACAUAUGAGGACAGGAAUAAAAGAUGUUUUAAAAUAGAAAUGUCUAUAAUUUAACUUAUAAGUAUGAUUAACUAAGAUCACAAACAACAAAUCAGUUGCAUUGCAAAUGUACAUAUAGCAUGUUUGCACUUACGAGGGAAUAUUCACUCCCUUUCAGUGAAAGUGUUGGCAUGCAGGUCAAUUAUUGUCACCAAAUCAUCUGUCAUAUUCUCUGCAUGCAGCUGUAGAAUUUGAUCAGAAAGAUUAGCUACACUAUUCUAUGUAUAAGUCUUAUGUAUAAAUCUAAGACAUUUUGGUUUCUAGUCACCAGUCUAUAUUUAUAAUCAUUGUAGUGUAAAAAAAUUCUGGUCCAUAAGUCGAUUGAGACUUUAUGUUUUAGUGAAAUGUUUUGUUUAUUUAUUGCCAACUCACUGUAAA